UACAGAGGUCUCAAGCGUUGUUCGGAUUCAUUGGGCGUAAAGGGUGUGUAGGUGGCGCCGUAAGUCGGGUGUGAAAUCUCGGGGCUUAACUCCGAAACUGCAUUCGAUACUGCGGUGCUUGAGGACUGGAGAGGAGACUGGAAUUCAUGGUGUAGCAGUGAAAUGCGUAGAGAUCAUGAGGAACACCAACGGCGAAGGCAGCUCGCUGGGACGGUACUGACGCUGGAGGCGCGAAAGCGUGGGGAGCGAACGG
rnacentral:rRNA from 1 species